GUAAGGAAUAUUGGUCAAUGGGCGCAAGCCUGAUCUAGCCAUGCCGCGUGAGCGAUGAAGGCCUUAGGGUUGUAAAGCUCUUUCGUGGGGGAAGAUAAUGACUGUACCCCAAGAAGAAGCCCCGGCUAACUCCGUGCCAGCAGCCGCGGUAAUACGGAGGGGGCUAGCGUUGUUCGGAAUUACUGGGCGUAAAGCGCACGUAGGCGGACUGGAAAGUCAGGGGUGAAAUCCCGGGUCUCAACCCCGGAAUUGCCUUUGAAACUCCCAGGCUUGAGUUCGAGAGAGGUAGGUGGAAUUCCGAGUGUAGAGGUGAAAUUCGUAGAUAUUCGGAGGAACACCAGUGGCGAAGGCGGCUCACUGGCUCGAUACUGACGCUGAGGUGCGAAAGCGUGGGGAGCAAACAGGAUUAGAAACCCGGGUAGUCC
rnacentral:rRNA from 1 species